CACAUGCAAGUCGAGCGGUAACAGGGAGUAGCUUGCUACUUUGCUGACGAGCGGCGGACGGGUGAGUAAUGCUUGGGAACAUGCCUUGAGGUGGGGGACAACAGUUGGAAACGACUGCUAAUACCGCAUAAUGUCUACGGACCAAAGGGGGCUUCGGCUCUCGCCUUUAGAUUGGCCCAAGUGGGAUUAGCUAGUUGGUGAGGUAAUGGCUCACCAAGGCGACGAUCCCUAGCUGGUUUGAGAGGAUGAUCAGCCACACUGGGACUGAGACACGGCCCAGACUCCUACGGGAGGCAGCAGUGGGGAAUAUUGCACAAUGGGCGCAAGCCUGAUGCAGCCAUGCCGCGUGUGUGAAGAAGGCCUUCGGGUUGUAAAGCACUUUCAGUCAGGAGGAAAGGUUAGUAGUUAAUACCUGCUAGCUGUGACGUUACUGACAGAAGAAGCACCGGCUAACUCCGUGCCAGCAGCCGCGGUAAUACGGAGGGUGCGAGCGUUAAUCGGAAUUACUGGGCGUAAAGCGUACGCAGGCGGUUUGUUAAGCGAGAUGUGAAAGCCCCGGGCUCAACCUGGGAACUGCAUUUCGAACUGGCAAGCUAGAGUGUGAUAGAGGGUGGUAGAAUUUCAGGUGUAGCGGUGAAAUGCGUAGAGAUCUGAAGGAAUACCGAUGGCGAAGGCAGCCACCUGGGUCAACACUGACGCUCAUGUACGAAAGCGUGGGGAGCAAACAGGAUUAGAUACCCUGGUAGUCCACGCCGUAAACGAUGUCUACUAGAAGCUCGGAACCUCGGUUCUGUUUUUCAAAGCUAACGCAUUAAGUAGACCGCCUGGGGAGUACGGCCGCAAGGUUAAAACUCAAAUGAAUUGACGGGGGCCCGCACAAGCGGUGGAGCAUGUGUUUAAUUCGAUGCAACGCGAAGAACCUUACCUACACUUGACAUACAGAGAACUUACCAGAGAUGGUUUGGUGCCUUCGGGAGCUCUGAUACAGGUGCUGCAUGCUGUCGUCAGCUCGUGUGUGAGAUGUUGGGUUAAGUCCCGCACGGAGCGCAACCCCUAUCUUAAGUGCUAGCAGUAAUGCUGAAACUCUAAGAGAACUGCGGUGAUAAACCGGAAAAAGGGUGGUACCAACGUCCAGUGCAUU
rnacentral:rRNA from 1 species